CUUGCUUUCGCUGACGACCGGCGCACGGGUGCGUAACGCGUAUACAAUCUGCCUCUUACUGGAGUAUACCCCAGAGAAAUUUGGAAUAAUCCUCCAUAAUAUUGUUUUCAGGCAUCUUUAGACAAUUAAAGCUUCGGCGGUAAGAGAUGAGUAUGCGUCCUAUUAGCUAGAUGGUAAGGUAACGGCUUACCAUGGCAACGAUAGGUAGGGGUCCUGAGAGGGAGAUCCCCCACACUGGUACUGAGACACGGACCAGACUCCUACGGGAGGCAGCAGUGAGGAAUAUUGGGCAAUGGACGGAAGUCUGACCCAGCCAUGCCGCGUGCAGGAUGACUGCCCUAUGGGUUGUAAACUGCUUUUAUACAGGAAGAAACCAUUCCUCGUGAGG
rnacentral:rRNA from 1 species